UGAAUUACCAUAGGGCCAUA
rnacentral:miRNA from 2 species